UUAAGUUAGAAAGGGCGCACGGUGGAUGCCUUGACACUAGGAGUCGAUGAAGGACGGGACUAACGCCGAUAUGCUUCGGGGAGCUGUAAGUAAGCUUUGAUCCGAAGAUUUCCGAAUGGGGAAACCCACCAUACGUAAUGGUAUGGUAUCCUUAUCUGAAUACAUAGGGUAAGGAAGACAGACCCAGGGAACUGAAACAUCUAAGUACCUGGAGGAAGAGAAAGCAAAUGCGAUUUCCUGAGUAGCGGCGAGCGAAACGGAACAUAGCCCAAACCAAGAGGCUUGCCUCUUGGGGUUGUAGGACAUUCUAUACGGAGUUACAAAGGAACGAGGUAGACGAAGCGACCUGGAAAGGUCCGUCGUAGAGGGUAACAACCCCGUAGUCGAAACUUCGUUCUCUCUUGAAUGUAUCCUGAGUACGGCGGAACACGUGAAAUUCCGUCGGAAUCUGGGAGGACCAUCUCCCAAGGCUAAAUACUCCCUAGUGAUCGAUAGUGAACCAGUACCGUGAGGGAAAGGUGAAAAGCACCCCGGAAGGGGAGUGAAAGAGAUCCUGAAACCGUGUGCCUACAAAUAGUCAGAGCCCGUUAACGGGUGAUGGCGUGCCUUUUGUAGAAUGAACCGGCGAGUUACGAUCCCGUGCGAGGUUAAGCUGAAGAGGCGGAGCCGCAGCGAAAGCGAGUCUGAAUAGGGCGUUUAGUACGUGGUCGUAGACCCGAAACCAGGUGAUCUACCCAUGUCCAGGGUGAAGUUCAGGUAACACUGAAUGGAGGCCCGAACCCACGCACGUUGAAAAGUGCGGGGAUGAGGUGUGGGUAGCGGAGAAAUUCCAAUCGAACCUGGAGAUAGCUGGUUCUCCCCGAAAUAGCUUUAGGGCUAGCCUUAAGUGUAAGAGUCUUGGAGGUAGAGCACUGAUUGGACUAGGGGUCCUCAUCGGAUUACCGAAUUCAGUCAAACUCCGAAUGCCAAUGACUUAUCCUUAGGAGUCAGACUGCGAGUGAUAAGAUCCGUAGUCAAAAGGGAAACAGCCCAGACCGCCAGCUAAGGUCCCAAAGUGUGUAUUAAGUGGAAAAGGAUGUGGAGUUGCUUAGACAACUAGGAUGUUGGCUUAGAAGCAGCCACCAUUUAAAGAGUGCGUAAUAGCUCACUAGUCGAGUGACUCUGCGCCGAAAAUGUACCGGGGCUAAAUACACCACCGAAGCUGCGGAUUGAUACCAAUGGUAUCAGUGGUAGGGGAGCGUUCUAAGGACAGUGAAGUCAGACCGGAAGGACUGGUGGAGUGCUUAGAAGUGAGAAUGCCGGUAUGAGUAGCGAAAGACGGGUGAGAAUCCCGUCCACCGAAUGCCUAAGGUUUCCUGAGGAAGGCUCGUCCGCUCAGGGUUAGUCAGGACCUAAGCCGAGGCCGACAGGCGUAGGCGAUGGACAACAGGUUGAUAUUCCUGUACCACCUCUUUAUCGUUUGAGCAAUGGAGGGACGCAGAAGGAUAGAAGAAGCGUGCGAUUGGUUGUGCACGUCCAAGCAGUUAGGCUGAUAAGUAGGCAAAUCCGCUUAUCGUAAAGGCUGAGCUGUGAUGGGGAAGCUCCUUAUGGAGCGAAGUCUUUGAUUCCCCGCUGCCAAGAAAAGCUUCUAGCGAGAUAAAAGGUGCCUGUACCGCAAACCGACACAGGUAGGCGAGGAGAGAAUCCUAAGGUGUGCGAGAGAACUCUGGUUAAGGAACUCGGCAAAAUGACCCCGUAACUUCGGGAGAAGGGGUGCUUUCUUAACGGAAAGCCGCAGUGAAUAGGCCCAAGCGACUGUUUAGCAAAAACACAGCUCUCUGCGAAGCCGUAAGGCGAAGUAUAGGGGGUGACACCUGCCCGGUGCUGGAAGGUUAAGGAGAGGGGUUAGCGUAAGCGAAGCUCUGAACUGAAGCCCCAGUAAACGGCGGCCGUAACUAUAACGGUCCUAAGGUAGCGAAAUUCCUUGUCGGGUAAGUUCCGACCCGCACGAAAGGUGUAACGAUUUGGGCACUGUCUCAACCAGAGACUCGGUGAAAUUAUAGUACCUGUGAAGAUGCAGGUUACCCGCGACAGGACGGAAAGACCCCGUGGAGCUUUACUGUAGCCUGAUAUUGAAUUUUGGUACAGUUUGUACAGGAUAGGCGGGAGCCAUUGAAACCGGAGCGCUAGCUUCGGUGGAGGCGCUGGUGGGAUACCGCCCUGACUGUAUUGAAAUUCUAACCUACGGGUCUUAUCGACCCGGGAGACAGUGUCAGGUGGGCAGUUUGACUGGGGCGGUCGCCUCCUAAAGUGUAACGGAGGCGCCCAAAGGUUCCCUCAGAAUGGUUGGAAAUCAUUCGUAGAGUGCAAAGGCAUAAGGGAGCUUGACUGCGAGACCUACAAGUCGAGCAGGGACGAAAGUCGGGCUUAGUGAUCCGGUGGUUCCGCAUGGAAGGGCCAUCGCUCAACGGAUAA
rnacentral:rRNA from 1 species